rnacentral:tmRNA from 1 species
GGGGUCGACAUUGGAUUUGACAGCGAGUGAAAUGAUUCGGUAAGCAUGUCGAGCAUUGUGAAUCUAGCUCGUAAAUCUGAAUUCUCAAUCUCUUUAACCGGAGAAAACAACUACGCACUUGCUGCCUAAUUACUUGAUGUAAUUACGCUUAAUCCCAUACAAGGUAUGCGGACAAGUUGCCCAGCUACUGACUACCCGUUCAACGGUCUUUAGCAAUGGGUAUCGUUGGCUUGAACUAGUUGAUGCUUUGUCUCGCGGCUGAUACGAAACUAAAGAGAAUAAGUUGUAGUUGGGGUGUUUGUGUUCAGGCUACAAUCGAAAAUUAAUCGCAAAAUAAACAUGUAGAAAGCUCAGUUGUUCCUUGUUUGGACGAGGGUUCGAACCCCUCCGACUCCACU